UAAGUAGAAGCCCUCUGGCUUGGGCGGCUAGCUGUUAACUAGUUUGUUGCGGGAUCGAGGCCCGUCUAUUUAG
rnacentral:tRNA from 1 species